CAAUCUUAAAUCAUGUCAAGUCGCUGCAAAAUCAAAAGUGCCAUAUGUGGCGUUUUACUUCAACAAUUUGUCCUACUUAAAUGGACCAUCAAGGAGCAGUUUCUUUCUCUGUAAGCUAUUCCAACUUUAAGUCUGGUCACAAGCUUCAAUGUCUUUAACUUGUAGCCAUAUGUCAAAUCCAUAUUGUGUUCCUUUCAUUUUAGUUAGUCUAGCGUGCAACAACCUUCAAUCUCAUGAAUCACUUUGAAUUU
rnacentral:lncRNA from 1 species